rnacentral:rRNA from 1 species
AGAGUUGAUCAUGGCUCAGGAUGAACGCUAGCUACAGGCUUAACACAUGCAAGUCGAGGGGCAGCAGAUCGAUAGCUUGCUAUUGAUGCUGGCGACCGGCGCACGGGUGAGUAACGCGUAUCCAACCUUCCCUAUAGUAGAGGAUAGCCCGGCGAAAGUCGGAUUAAUACUCUAUGUUUUCCAAUGCAGACAUCUAAGUUGGAACAAAGGUUCACCGCUAUAGGAUGGGGAUGCGUCUGAUUAGGUUGUUGGCGGGGUAACGGCCCACCAAGCCUACGAUCAGUAGGGGUUCUGAGAGGAAGGUCCCCCACAUUGGAACUGAGACACGGUCCAAACUCCUACGGGAGGCAGCAGUGAGGAAUAUUGGUCAAUGGGCGAGAGCCUGAACCAGCCAAAAGUAGCGUGCAGGAUGACGGCCCUAUGGGUUGUAAACUGCUUUUAUACGGGGAUAAAGUGAGGGACGUGUCCCUUUUUGUAGGUACCGUAUGAAUAAGGACCGGCUAAUUCCGUGCCAGCAGCGGC